rnacentral:rRNA from 1 species
UACGGAGGGAGCUAGCGUUGUUCGGAAUUACUGGGCGUAAAGCGCACGUAGGCGGCUUUGUAAGUUAGAGGUGAAAGCCUGGUGCUCAACACCAGAACUGCCUUUAAGACUGCAUCGCUUGAAUCAUGGAGAGGCGGGUGGAAUUCCGAGUGUAGAGGUGAAAUUCGUAGAUAUUCGGAAGAACACCAGUGGCGAAGGCGGCCCGCUGGACAUGUAUUGACGCUGAGGUGCGAAAGCGUGGGGAGCAAACAGGG